UACGGAGGGGGCUAGCGUUGUCCGCAGUUACUGGGCGUAAAGCGCGCGUAGGCGGGUUGGUAAGUCCGCUGUGAAAGCCCGGAGCUCAACUCCGGAGGGUCGGUGGAUACUGCCAGUCUUGAAGGUGCUAGGGGGAGAUGGAAUUACCGGUGUAGCGGUGAAAUGCGCAGAUAUCAGGAGGAACACCAAUUGCGAAGGCAGCUCGCUGGGACGUUACUGACGCUGAUGCGCGAAAGCGUGGGGAGCAAACAGG
rnacentral:rRNA from 1 species